AAUACGGAGCGGCAGACGGGUGAGUAACGCGUGGGAACGUACCCUUUGGUUCGGAACAACACAGGGAAACUUGUGCUAAUACCGGAUAAGCCUUACGGGAAAGAUUUAUCGCCGAAGGAUCGGCCCGCGUCUGAUUAGCUAGUUGGUGAGGUAAUGGCUCACCAAGGCGACGAUCAGUAGCUGGUCUGAGAGGAUGAUCAGCCACACUGGGACUGAGACACGGCCCAG
rnacentral:rRNA from 1 species